rnacentral:rRNA from 1 species
CCUACGGGUGGCUGCAGUGGGGAAUAUUGGACAAUGGGCGAAAGCCUGAUCCAGCCAUGCCGCGUGUGUGAAGAAGGCCUUCGGGUUGUAAAGCACUUUCAGUGGGGAAGAAAGCCUUGGGGCUAAUACCCUCGAGGAAGGACAUCACCCACAGAAGAAGCACCGGCUAACUCCGUGCCAGCAGCCGCGGUAAUACGGAGGGUGCGAGCGUUAAUCGGAAUUACUGGGCGUAAAGCGCGCGUAGGCGGUCUGAUAAGCCGGUUGUGAAAGCCCCGGGCUCAACCUGGGAACGGCAUCCGGAACUGUCAGGCUAGAGUGCAGGAGAGGAAGGUAGAAUUCCCGGUGUAGCGGUGAAAUGCGUAGAGAUCGGGAGGAAUACCAGUGGCGAAGGCGGCCUUCUGGACUGACACUGACGCUGAGGUGCGAAAGCGUGGGUAGCAAACAGGAUUAAUACCCUAGUAGUC